rnacentral:rRNA from 1 species
GACGAACGCUGGCGGCGUGCUUAACACAUGCAAGUCGAGCGGAGCGGCGAACGGGUGAGUAACGCGUGAGUAACUGCCCCCCUCUCUGGGAUAACAGUUGGAAACGGCUGCUAAUACCGGAUAGUGGGGGAUGACUCGCGUCCUAUCAGCUUGUUGGUGGGGUAGUGGCCUACCAAGGCGACGACGGGUAGCCGGCCUGAGAGGGCGACCGGCCACAUUGGGCUGAGACACGGCCCAGACUCCUACGGGAGGCAGCAGUGGGGAAUAUUGCACAAUGGGCGCAAGCUUGAUGCAGCAACGCCGCGUGGGGGAUGACGGCCUUCGGGUUGUAAACCUCUUUUAGUAGGGAAGCGGUACCUGCAGAAAAAGCACCGGCUAACUACGUGCCAGCAGCCGCGGUAAUUC